rnacentral:rRNA from 1 species
GCAUGCCUAUAGCAUAGCGUUAAUGCACCAAAUCCCAUUAGAACUUCGUAGUUAAGCAUGCUCAGGUUAGGGUAGUAUUGGGAUGGGUGACCACCUGAGAAGUCCUAGUGUUUUACAUGCU